rnacentral:rRNA from 1 species
GAUGAGUGAUAAGUGUUAGAGGGUUUCCGCCCUUUAGUGAUGAAGUUAACGCAUUAAGCACUCCGCCUGGGGAGUACGGCCGCAAGGCUGAAACUCAAAGGAAUUGACGGGGGCCCGCACAAGCGGUGGAGCAUGUGGUUUAAUUCGAAGCAACGCGAAGAACCUUACCAGGUCUUGACAUCCUCUGAAAACCCUAGAGAUAGGGCUUCUCCUUCGGGAGCAGAGUGACAGGUGGUGCAUGGUUGUCGUCAGCUCGUGUCGUGAGAUGUUGGGUUAAGUCCCGCAACGAGCGCAACCCUUGAUCUUAGUUGCCAUCAUUAAGUUGGGCACUCUAAGGUGACUGCCGGUGACAAACCGGAGGAAGGUGGGGAUGACGUCAAAUCAUCAUGCCCCUUAUGACCUGGGCUACACACGUGCUACAAUGGACGGUACAAAGAGCUGCAAGACCGCGAGGUGGAGCUAAUCUCAUAAAACCGUUCUCAGUUCGGAUUGUAGGCUGCAACUCGCCUACAUGAAGCUGGAAUCGCUAGUAAUCGCGGAUUCCAAAGCCGA